rnacentral:rRNA from 1 species
GACGAACGCUGGCGGCGUGCUUAACACAUGCAAGUCGAACGAUGAACCCGGAGCUUGCUCCGGCGGAUUAGUGGCGAACGGGUGAGUAACACGUGAGUAACCUGCCCUUGACUCUGGGAUAACUGCGGGAAACUGUAGCUAAUACCGGAUACGACCCUCGGCGGCAUCGCCAGGGGGUGGAAAGAAUUUCGGUCAAGGAUGGACUCGCGGCCUAUCAGCUAGUUGGUGAGGUAACGGCUCACCAAGGCGACGACGGGUAGCCGGCCUGAGAGGGUGACCGGCCACACUGGGACUGAGACACGGCCCAGACUCCUACGGGAGGCAGCAGUGGGGAAUAUUGCACAAUGGGCGCAAGCCUGAUGCAGCAACGCCGCGUGAGGGAUGACGGCCUUCGGGUUGUAAACCUCUUUUAGUAGGGAAGAGGCGAAAGUGACGGUACCUAAAGAAGAAGCACCGGCUAACUACGUGCCAGCCGCCGCCGUAA